rnacentral:tRNA from 2 species
GCAGGCAUGGCGGAAUUGGCAGACGCGCACGGUUCAGGUCCGUGUGAAAGCAAUUUCAUGGAGGUUCGAGUCCUCUUGCCUGCACCA